GAUGAACGCUGGCGGCGUGCCUAAUACAUGCAAGUCGAGCGAACGGACGAGAAGCUUGCUUCUCUGAUGUUAGCGGCGGACGGGUGAGUAACACGUGGAUCACCUACCUAUAAGACUGGGAUAACUUCGGGAAACCGUAGCUAAUACCGGAUAAUAUUUUGAACCGCAUGGUUCAAAAGUGAAAGACGGUCUUUCUGUCACUUAUAGCUGGAUCCGCGCUGCAUUAGCUAGUUGGUAAGGUAACGGCUUACCAAGGCAACGAUGCAUAGCCGACCUGUGAGGGUGAUCGGCCACACUGGAACUGAGACACGGUCCAGACUCCUACGGGAGGCAGCAGUAGGGAAUCGUCCGCAAAGGGCGAAAGCCUGACGGAGCAACGCCGCGUGAGUGAUGAAGGUCUUCGGAUCGUAAAACUCUGUUAUUAGGGAAGAACAUAUGUGUAAGUAACUGUGCACAUCUUGACGGUACCUAAUCAGAAAGCCACGGCUAACUACGUG
rnacentral:rRNA from 1 species